UCUCCGUUGGUGAACCAGCGGAGGGAUCAUUACCGAGUUUACAACUCCCAAACCCAAUGUGAACCAUACCAAACUGUUGCCUCGGCGGGGUCACGCCCCGGGUGCGUCGCAGUCCCGGAACCAGGCGCCCGCCGGAGGGACCAACCAAACUCUUUCUGUAGUCCCCUCGCGGACGUUAUUUUUACAGCUCUGAGCAAAAAUUCAAAAUGAAUCAAAACUUUCAACAACGGAUCUCUUGGUUCU
rnacentral:misc_RNA from 1 species